AUGGCAAACCCUCAGGAUAGAGGUGCAUCGAGUAGCCCCCGUCCAAAGCGGGAGAAGAAACUUCCGGGACAUCUGGUGGACUAUGAGCACAACCUAACUGAGCCAUCCGAGCCAUCUAGAGCUCCAAGUAGUUCAAGCAGCUCCGAUAAUGAAGAGGAAGAGAGAUGGCAGAAGAUGGAAUCAGUCUGGAACAGUGUCCUCCAACAUAUGACUCAACUGCAAGUGUCUAUGGAGGAAACUCGUGGGACAUUACUAAAGCGGGUGGAGCGUUUGGAGCAGGCUUCUAAACCUGGCAGUCCUCUUCCCCCAGAAACAGGAGCAUUAGAACAACGCCAACAUAUUUCCUCCAUAACAGAAGUUGCACCACUACAACCUAGCAGUGAGGUGUUACAUCACACCACAGAGCCAGUAACUGUGCCAGUAAUACCUUCAGAGCAGGACACCACAACACCUGUGAACAUGCUGACGCCAGUGGAAACAUCCGCUCCAUCACCUCCGCGUGAAGUGAGACUUCACACUCAGCCAGUGCUGCACCCUGCCACUUAUGUAGCUGCAUCGACACCACUCAGGAGACCUGAACGAUGCACUGCUGAACCCUUCUCAUAUCAGCAAUCGGAACAUCAGCUCCUUAUAGGCAGGCCAGACCAGAUGCAGCUAUUACAUCCUGCAGCCCCAGCUGAUCAGCCACUAGGACGUGCUCAUCUUUCAGUACACCAGCUAUCACAGCCUGUGGACCCAGUGAGUCUGCAGCAGACGUCACAUCCCGCUGCUCCCGUCUUCCAAGCCAGACAUCCAGCUAAUCCUGUGUACUUGCAGCAACCACCACAUCCUGCUGAUCCUACCUACCAACCUUCACGUCCACCAGAACUUGCGACCCAGCCAUCACAGUGGGCAGAAGCACAUCGCCCUGUGCCCAACAUACUGCAUCCUGAAGCUUUGCCUGAUCCAGCUGGCAAAUACUAUGUUCCUUAUCCCUCAGGAAGUAACUAUUCAUCAUCUUCCUCUGCUGAACACCAUAAUCCACAGGUUGCCACAACUUACCCAGCAGGAACGCCUCUACCAAACCUGAUGGAGAUGAUGGUAGCGUCUUCAUAUGGCAUUCCAAAGCCUAAGCUGGUGAUCUUCAGGUCGGGCAGAGAGAGUGACUUCGCCUUAUUAAAGAAAGGGCUGGACAGCACCUUAGGGCCACAUUCUCAUCUGGGAGAAGAUUACAAGUUUCAGGUCCUAUUAGAUCAUCUAGAGCAUCCCAGCGCCCUACAGGUAGCCAAGCGCUACAUUCACGACCGCACUCCCUAUACUAGUGCAAUGAGGGCGCUAGAGCAGAGGUAUGGACAGCCAAGGCAGUUAGUCCAAAGUGAGCUUAGCACUAUAUUAAACUGCCCCCCUAUUAGAACCGGAGACUCUCAAGCUAUUGAAGACCUGUCCCUGUCUGUGUCCAGCCUGGUCGGGCUUCUCAGUACCAUGGAUGAAGUAGCAGCCAGUGAGCUCCAUUGUGGUUCACAUGUGGACAGACUGCUUACCAAGCUCCCCCUGCACUACAGAGACAGCUUCAUCGAGUACUGUAUCACCCGGGGGAUCAUCCGCACUGGCAGCAGCCGAACGUACAACAUGUACGACUUCUCAGAAUGGCUGGAACGGAAAUCCCAAGUCCUUCAGCUAUCCAGACAAGCCUCUCAAAUGCCCCCUGACAGGCCACGUCCAGAGAAGAACCUACUCAAAGCCUCAGCAGGGCUCAAGCCACACAACAAAUCUGCGUCCAUCUACUACGGCCCAAAUCCAGCCCAAGCCAAGCUAAAACAAGAGGGAGAAUCUACCGCUCCAGAUCCGACAGUCCAACCUAAGAAGAGACAGAAGUUCAAACCUUAUUGUCCAUACUGUGAAGGGACAGAGCAUUAUCUCAAUGGCUGUGAUGGAUUCAAAAGGCUAGACCUCAAAGCUAUGGCUACCUGGAUUACCGAGAAGGCCAAAUGCUGGCGUUGUGGCCGUAAACAUUCUCCAGAGCAGUGUACUCUGAAGAAGCCGUGCAGCACCUGUGGUGACCAGCAUUUGUCGGUGCUCCAUGACCUGGUUGAGGCCAAGAAGCGGGACCCUAACAUACUAACUGUGAGUACUAGUAUGGUUUACCUAGACUAUUCAAGUCACUCAGGUCGUGUUAUGCUUAAGGUAGUACCCAUCCAACUACAUCAUGGUGGCAAAUCUCUGGACACAUUUGCUGUGCUUGAUGACGGCUCAGAGAAGACUGUUGUGCUUCCUGCGGCAGUUAAAUCUCUAGGUUUGGAACAGGAGGAAGCAACACUCUCACUACGAACUAUCCGUCGAGAUGUAAUCCAGAUGAAGGGAGGCUUUGUCUCAUUUCAGGUGUCACCAAGGGCUAAGCCCAAAGUGAGGUACAAAGUAACACAUGCCUUCACAGCCGACCAGCUGAGUCUAGCUACUCAGUCAUGUCCAGCUGACCAGCUGAAGAAGAAGUAUCUUCACUUGCAGAAAGCCCAGAUUGAAGGAUUCAACCAGGUCCAACCUUUGGUGCUGAUUGGCUCAGAUAAUGCUCAUCUCAUCACCCCCAUCCGUCCUGUCCUUCGGGGGUCGUCCAAAGGGCCGGUAGCCGUCUGCACCAAGCUCGGAUGGGCCAUCCAGGGGCCGGCCAGUAGUAUGCCUACAUCUGAGGGGGACCUGCAGUGCCUGAACAUGUGCCUUUCUCCUGCAGAGGCCCUGCAUCAAGAUGUGAUGCGUUUGUGGCAACUAGAUGCUUCCCCCUACAGGACAGAGAAGGAGGUCACACGGUCAAAGGAGGACAGAGAGGCGGUAGCUAUGUUGGAAACAAAGUUGCCAACAGAGUUCCCAGCAUGCAGUGAGGCAGAGCUCAGGAAGACUGCAUUCUGUGGGCACGCCUCUGUAUCCCCGACCUUACCAGAUCCAACACAGUAUGCCACACUAGAUGAGCUGAUUGCUGCUACACACCGUAUCCUACACGGGGCGGCCGACACUCCUAUUACAGCUGCAGAGCAACUAGAAACCAAGACCAUGCUGCUUCGCUCGGCUCAGACUGACAGCUUCCCAGAGGAGGCCCGAGCCCUCCAGAUCGGUCACCCAGUCCGCUCGGACAGCCGUCUUAGCGUGCUGUCCCCUGAAUAUGACAGUCUUACCGGUCUCAUCAGAGUCGGAGGCCGCCUCCGUCGAGCCGCCGACUUAGAUCCAGACAGUAUUCAUCCCAUUGUGUUAGCAGCUGAACAUCCCCUGACCAAGCUCAUCAUGAAAACUUAUGAUGACCAGCUCCUUCAUCCAGGUGCAGAGAGGCUGUUUGCGGAAAUACGGCGCACCUAUUGGAUUCUCAGAGGACGUCAAGCCGUUAAGAAACAUCAGCACCAGUGUGUGGACUGUAGGAGAUGGCGCGCCUCACCUUCUACACCCAAGAUGGCUGACUUACCUUCAUCACGGCUGAGACUCUAUAAGCCCCCGUUCUGGUCAACGGGCGUAGACUGUUUUGGACCGUACACGAUAAAGAUAGGUCGUAGAAGAGAGAAACGCUGGGGAAUUAUCUACAAGUGUCUUACAACCAGAUGGUUGCACCUCGAUCUCCUCCCUAGUCUUGACACCGAUUCCUUCCUUAUGUCAUUACGCCGAUUUAUCGCACGCCGAGGAAAGCCAUACGAGAUGUGGUCGGAUCGAGGGACCAAUUUCAGAGGUGGUCACAGAGAACUCCAAACGGCGUUUGAAAACAUGGAGCCUGACCUCAAGCAGCAGCUAGCCAAGCAGACUAUCAACUUCUGCUUCAAUCCCCCACACUCUCCUCAUUUCGGAGGAGCCUGGGAAAGGGAAAUCAGAGCAGUGAAGUCAGCUCUGCAAGUAGUCCUGAAGGACCAAGUUGUGGCCGAAGAAGUCCUACUCACAGCCCUCAUAGAGAUUGAGAGCAUUUUGAACUCAAAACCACUCGGCUAUGCAUCAGCUGACAUAGCUGACCCAGAUCCCAUCACACCAAAUCUUCUCUUGAUGGGGCGGCAUGAUUCAGCACUGCCCCAGGCAGUUUACGGCCCCUCAGGUACUCUUUCAACCAGAAGAUGGAGACACAGUCAGGUCAUCAGCGACCACUUCUGGAAGCGGUUCAUACAGAACUACCUCCCAGGACUGCAACUCCGACAGAAAUGGAGGAAGUCCACUGACAACAUGGCCGUGGGACAAGCUGUUAUGAUUGUGGACGCUAAUCUGCCUAGAGGCCUUUGGCCUGUGGGUACCAUUUCCCAAGUUUUUCCAGGGACUGAUGGCAUUGUUCGAGCUGCCGAGGUCAAGGUUAAAGACAGUACCUAUGUUCGCCCGGUAACUAAGCUGGUGGAACUUCCCAAAGUUCCUGAGGACUCAGAUGAUACUGUUUCAAAAUAG
ensembl:lncRNA